CCUACGGGAGGCAGCAGUGAGGAAUAUUGGUCAAUGGGCGGGAGCCUGAACCAGCCAAGCCGCGUGAGGGAAGAAGGUACAGCGUAUCGUAAACCUCUUUUGUCAGGGAACAAAGGCGGGGACUAGUCCCCGGAUGAGGGUACCUGAAGAAAAAGCAUCGGCUAACUCCGUGCCAGCAGCCGCGGUAAUACGGAGGAUGCGAGCGUUAUCCGGAUUUAUUGGGCUUAAAGGGAGCGUAGGCGGGCGUUCAAGUCAGCGGUGAAAUCGCGCGGCUCAACCGCGCCCCGCAGUUGAAACUGGGCGCCUUGAGUUCACAGCAGGCAGGCGGAAUUCGUGGUGUAGCGGUGAAAUGCAGAGAUAUCACGAGGAACCCCGAUUGCGAAGGCGGCCUGCCGGGGUGCGACUGACGCUGAGGCUCGAAGGUGCGGGUAUCAAACAGGAUUAGAUACCCCAGUAGUC
rnacentral:rRNA from 1 species